CUACAGCACCAGCUCAAUAAAUAUACAUAGAAAUGAUGAGUAAAUAAACGAAUGAAUUUCCUGGAUCCUGUGAGAGCAGAAUGAGAGGGCGCAGCUGCCCCUGAGGAGAAAGGAAGUCAGGACCGGUGGUAUUACAGGCAGCAGAGAUGAAGAAAGCCAGCUCCCAGUGGAUUAACACUCCCCGUAGCCACACUGAUCAUCUCUGUUCUCCUACCUUCCCAAUGUGGGAUUCUGGAAAGAACGGCCAGUUCCAUGUCAGACAGACUUUAACGUGAAUCCAGUUGCUACCAUGUGACCCUGGGAUCCCAGCAACUACAGCUGCUGCUAUCUACUACUAUCUAAUACUAUAUUAAAAUUAGUCAUCAUGUCCCC